GAAGAAACAGGAAGGGGCUCUCUUUUCUUCUCUGCUCCUGCUCCAGCAGCACGAUGUGAUCCACCAGCAAGGAGGGACGCCAAUAAGGCAUCUGAUCAGAUAAGUCUUAUAAAAUAUAUAAAUGUAUGAUAGUUAAGACUGAGCUAACAGAUGAGAAUCCUAGUCAUUGGCCAAGCAGCUUUGAACCUAAUACAAGUUUCUGUGUAUUCAUUUGGGCCCUAAGUCGGGCGGGCAGCUUGCAUAAAGCUCACACGUGGCGGUGGGGCUAAGGUGGCUUUUGGCAGAAAGAUUUAUCAUAACAGAGGAUACUAAGCCCCCUUUCCCCAUUGUUGUCACUAAGGAUAAUGUACAUCUAGUUAAGGCUACUUUUCUAUUGUUUAGGGUUGGGAUUGGAAGUAGGUGUUCAGGUUUGGUCACUUCUUUCAGAUGACUUUAGGGUUUAGUUAAAAUAGACAUAGUUAGGAUGUGUCAUAGCAGAUUAUUGUAUCUUCUUGUAUUUCACCCUUAUGAUUGUUAAUUAUGGAUACUUUACACAUUUAAGUUUUAAUCCUCUUUUAGACAAAAGGGGGAUUGUAGGGGACACCCUAACCACGCCUCCUUGGGGCUGGCUACAGGUGUACCUGGCCACGCCCCUAGGGCAUGGUCAGGGUGACAUGUGAGGGAGUUUUAAGAGUGAGAGGCAUGUGGGACCCCCUUCUUCCCUUCAUCUGCUUGCUCUACUUACCUCAUUCCUGCUGGCUGGCUAGGUUGCUCUGAGUAAGGAAGGCACUCCCUAAUAAAAUCCUAAUAUCUUUACCUGACUCCAUAUUGGUAAUUCACCCUUUACCUAGACCUGGAGAAGAAGAGACAGGCAGGUCUUUGGGACUUGCUGGCUAGCAAGUUUAGCUUGCUAGGUAAGCUCCAGAGUAAACAGAGACCUCGACUCAAAAAAAAAAAUGAAGAAAGGAAGGAAGAAAGAGAGAGAGAGAGAGAGAGAGAGAAAGAGAGAGACAGAGACAGAGACAGAGACAGAGAGAGAGAGGAGGGAAAUGAAAGGAAGGAAAGGUCCACUUGUACCAAAGGAAUGAUGAUACUCAAGAUUUUCCUUUGAUCUCCAUGGAUGAAUGCACACUUGUGGUGAACACAUACCCACACGCAUGAGUACACACACACACACACACACACACACACACACACACACACACACAAAUAAAAUUUGUGAACUAAGCUUUAUCUUAUUUUUAAAUACAUUAAUACAUUUAUUGGUAUUUUCAACUGUAAAGUGAAUACAUGUAUAGCAGAGUACAAUUAAAAAUAAAUUACUUUUAUUUUUCCUUCUGAGGAUAAAAGAACCAGAAGCUAUUCCGAUUAUUUUUUGAAGAAAUGUUUGGGGCAGAAGUUUUGCUCCCUUUCAAAUUAUGGAAACCUAUCAUGUUGUCUACUGGGACUCACUGUUAGGAGGAAGGAGCCUCCUAAGCGUGUACCUUUGUGGAAGUGGUCUGGAUUCUCCAAGAGCUGUGGGGAUGCCCUAGGCUGGAGAGGAAGGGUGUAUAUCAUCUGCGGGCAGAUGCUGAGAUAGGAAUGAAUUCUGACAAGACACAGCUGGGUGGGUUGUCCUUGACUUUGGAUGGGGCUGAGCAAAUUGAACUUGUUGGUCUCUGGUCCUGGAAACUCAAGGACAUUGUGACCUCAAGCUCAGCACUCAGUAAAUAGCCUGUGUGUGGACACUGGAUCAGUAGCAGCCUACAUUAAUUUCCUUAGCUCAGUGGCAAUAAUCAGUAAACAUUCUGGGAAGGUCAUGCUAGAAGAAUUCUUUGGGCUUUGUGGGGUGGGCCACAUGGUCUUUGUCAAAUGACUCAGCUUUGCUACUGUGGGAUGCUAAUACACAACAGAAUGGAUGUGACUGCUCCUAAAUACUGUUUAAAAAUAAUUAACUCUUUGGAUGACUUGUUGACAGUUGGCUUAGGUAUUCACAGGAGCAGAGUUACUAUGUUAACAAGUAUACACACAUUUCUAGACUUUUUUAUAUGCUAUCAAGUUACUCUCCAGAGUCUUAUUGUCCUUGCAUGUGAAUUACCUGUUUCAGUCCAUGGUCCUAAAUAUUAUGUGUUUCUAUUAAAAAACAAAAACAAUACAAGGAGGGAUAUUUGAAGCAUAAUUUUCCAUAUGGAAAAUAUGAAAACAAUGUUAUUUGUUUCUCAGCGAAGUCCUAAAAGUAAGAAAUUGGCAAAAUUAUCUUUAGUACCUAGAACUUUUAAAUUCAAAUUAUAUUAAUAUCAUUGGGUGGAUAUUCUCUGAAACUACAUGUCUUCCACUGUUUGUGAAUGAGGUGUGUGUGUAUGUGUUUGGUAUGUAUAAAUAUGUGAGUGUCUGUUUGUGUGAGUGAUAUAUGUGUAUGUAAGUGAGGUGUGUGUGUGUGUGUGUGUGUGUGUGUGUGUGUGUGUGUGUGUGUGUAUGGUGAGGUAUGGGUGUGUAUAUGAGUGAGGUAUUUGUAUGUGAGUGAGGUGUGUAUAUGAAUAUAAGUGAGGUGUAUGUGUGUGUGAGAGAGAGAGUGAGGUGUGUGUGGCGCAUCUGAGUGAGGUGUGUGUAUUUAUGUGAGUGAGGUGUAUGUAUGUGAGUGAAGUAUGUGUGUAUGUGAGUGAGGUGCGUGUGUGUGUGUGUGUGUGUGUGUGUGUGUGUGUGUGUGUGUGUGUGAGUGAGGUGUGUGUGUGAGAGAGUGAGGUGUGUGUUUGUGAGUGAGGUUAGUGUGUGUGUAUGUGUGUCCCAAUAAUAGAGGGGCUGCUCACAAAAUUAUGUUGAUAAUAACAUCUGACUUCAAGCUCCAAAGCUACAGAGAAAUACUGUCUCAAAAGCUUCCCCUCCCAGGAGAAGGGGAAAGGGACAAGAUCUGAGGAAAUUGGGAGCAUGGGGAAGGGUGGAGGGAGUUUGGAGAAUGAGGAGGGGAGGAAAGGAGGGAAGAGGAGUACAUGAGGGACCAGAAAGAUUGAGUCCUGGGGAUGAAAAGAGGAGAGCAAGAAUAGAAAUACUUUAAUAGAGGGAGCCAUUAUAAAUUUAAAGAGAAAUCUGACACUAGGGAAAUGUACAGAGACCCACAAGGAUGAACCCAACUAAAAAUCUAAACAAGAGUGGACAGACUGUCUUAAAUGCCCUUCCCUUAUAAUGAGAUUGAUGACUACCUUAAAUGUCAUCCUAGAACCUUCAUCCAGUAGCAUAUGGAAGCAGAAGCAGACAUCCACAGCUAAACACUGAGCCAAACUCCUGGAAUCCAGUUGUAGAGAGGAAGGAAUGAUGAGCAAAGGGGUCAAGACCAUGCUGGGGAAACUCCACAGAAACAGCUGACCUGACCAAGUGAGAGCACACAGACCCCAGUCUAACAGCUGGGGAAUCAGCAUAAGACCAAACCAGGCUCCCUGAACAUUGGUGUCAGUUAGAAGGCCUGGGCAGUCUAUGAGGCCUCUGGCAGUGGAACCAGUAUUUAUCCCUAGUGCACAAAUGGACUUUGGGAGCCCAUUCCCCCUAGAGGGAUACUCUCUCUCAGCCUAGGGGAGGGGCUAGACCCUGCUCCAAAUGAUGUGACAGUCUUUAAUGAUCCCCCAUGGAAGGCCUCACCCUCCCUGGGGAGUGAAUGGGGAUAGAAUGGGGGUUUGUGGGGGGCACAGGAGCAUAGGAGAGAUAGAGAACUGGGAUUGAUAUGUAAAAUAAGAUUGUUUCUAAAUUAAAUAAAAAUAUAAUAACAAUAAAAAAGAAAAGCCCCCCCCCCAAAAAAAAUAAUACCUCUGACUUUUUCCAAAUUUAAUGAGCAGGUAGUUGGUUAAGACACAUCAGAGGACUAUGACUUGGGACUCUAAUUAAUAACUGUCUCCACCUUAAGUGAAUUCUCUGAGCUGUUAAGAGAGUUAUGCUGCCUGGUUAAUGUGUGAAAAUCUUGUCUUGGAUUUAGUUGUCCAUUUCAUCUACUCCAUAUCUGAUCCAUAAGAAAAUAGGGUUUUUCACUGAACCUUUCAGGAUAUAUGAUAAUGGGAGGAAUAUUGGCUCAACAUUUAUGAUUCUUUUGUACUUCUAGUUUCAGCUAUGACUAGCUGUAGUUGUGUAAUAUCAUAUAAUAGUUUGUGCCCCUUGGAAGCAUACAAAUCUGGUUUGAAUCCUGUAUUUGUCAUCUAUGGUCUUAGAUAUGUUCUCUCUGCUGGUCUUCUAGAAUAUAAAAUAAAGUAAUAUCCUCCACAUAUUAUGUUUACAAAGUGUGAAUCAUUGCACAUUUUUAUCUAAUUAAAUGAGGUAUAUCAUUUGUCUAACCCCAGGACAUUGAUCAUUAUUCUGCUAUCUCGGUUAUAAACAGUAGGCUAGCAGGGCGAUCAGAAGGCCUGGUUUGCACUGAGCUAUUUCAAGAAGCCAGUGAUUGAGUCUCUGAAAUAGAGUUCUAUAGGAAACAACCUGCUUAGAGGAACUGCUUCUAUUUCAAAAAAAGUAGUAUGAUUCAACAAACAAGCUUCAGUACUUGGGAUGACAGGGCCUGUUGUUUUAUUCAUGAAGUGAAAACAUUAAUUAGAACUUAAUUAUAAUGCCUGGGAGUCAUUUAAAAUAAAGAUCCAGGCAAUGAUGUGAAAUAUUUUUAGUAUUUUAGUAUUUCAAUAUUUAAAAUAUAAUAUGACAAAAUGUUCAACGGGGAAAAUGAUAGGUGUGCCAAAGAGGAAAGUGAAACAUAUCUGUGACCUGGAUAGCUGGUAUUGGGAAGAGCUCCUUUUGUGGGUAUUUUAGACUUUAAGUUUUUGAGAAUUAAUAUAUAGGGUUUAUUUGAGUUUAGAGGCAUGUAACAGACAGCAUAUACAAUGAAGCAUUUUUUGCAUCAUAGGAGACGUAAGGUGGAAGUUAGAAAAUAGCAACAGAUGCUAAUGAAGGGUAAUAGGAGACAGUGAUAUGAUCAGGUUCCUACUUCCAGUAAUUCAUCAGAGCAGUGGUGUCAGUUGAACUAUGGAACUGACAGUAAGAAACAGAAAGGGAAUCUUUGCAAACUACAAUAAUUAGUAAAUCUGUUGACGUUGGACAAGGGCAGAAGUUAGUAUAUAGCAACAGUCAUGUGCCAGAGACUGAUCUGAUGACCAGGUGGGUUGGUGCAGUUAUUCCUUGAUCUAGGAAUUGAGAAUAUAUAUUAGGUGUUUAGAAAGAAUAGAGACUCCAACCAAGGAGUUCUGAAUUGGGACUCAGGCUCUCUAGCUUCUAACUCUGGCUGAAUCCAACUCAUUCUUCCUCUUCAUGUUUAAUAUACCCACUUCUAUCAUAGGUACAAUGUCCCCAAGGGAACUGUACAUACAUGCAUCAUGGUCUCAGAAUUGUAUAGUCUGAUUCAAAUGACCAACAUCAAAUCCAAGAAUCUGUGCUUUCAAAAAUUUCUAGAAUGGCCAACAAGCUUGGAGACCCAUGGAACACAACAUCUCCGUGGGUUUUAUAUCUAAAAUAUCUCUGAAUGCACUCUCCCAAAACUCUGUCCUUCAUCCUGGUUCUGCAAAUGGGACCUGGCACACAGUAUGUCUUCCAUAGUCACUUCCAGAACGAACUAGUAUCCACAGUAUAUCUCCACUGUUCUUUGCUUCCCUCUUCACUCACCACACAGGUUAGGUUGGCAGAAGAAGCCAAGAUAGCUGCCCUGUAUAAAGUGGGCUUUGGAGGUGACUCUCUGCUGUGCCUCCUAUACUCCCAAGAAUAUGUGGCUGACCUUUCUCCAAAAUAUCCUGUAAUAAAUUUGUAACAGCUUAUGGAGAUGGAGGGUUGCUUUAUAUUUCAAUGUGGUAGUCUAUCAUGAAUAAAAUGUGGCAUUCUUAAACUCAAAAUUUUAGUAGACAGAAGCAACCCAAGAACUGAGCUUUGUUUUCUUUUUCCUUCCCAGCUCUGCUGGGAGGACACGUUACAUACUCUGUCUCUUGGUGUUUCCACAGAUCCCACUUCCUGAUUCAGAUGAGCUCAACAGACCCUGCAUGUAGACACAUGCAGAGAAAUCAUCCAAUAUGUCUGCAAAACACAUCAGUGCUUGGCCGUCAACACUGAGGCAUUAGAAUGCAAGAUCUGGUUAAGAAAAAAGGAAAAUAAACACUGUCAACGAAAUUCAGUGGGCAGAAGAAAGGUCAGAACUUUGGUAAUCCAAAGCCGGAGCCUAUGUCUGUGACUGAGUAAAUACAGUGAUUCCUAACAAGGUGGAUUGUGUCAGGACAACUGGCAGAAUGUCCAAGCUUCUGUAUUCUGUUGUCACAGGUACAUCCUUCACACUGCCCUCCGUGCUCAUUCUGGCUUACUGAAGUUGGAAGAAGAACAAAGGAAAUUAUGCAGGCACUGUGGGUGAUAAUUAACAUAAGAAGGAUGCACAUUCUAAGAAGAGAAUUUGGUUUACAAACUCACAUAAAGAUGCAAAAUUCUUUCUAUGUGUCUUCCAAAAAUGACCAAAAGAAAAAAGUUAAAGAGAAAAUGAACAAACAAGCAAAAAACAAAACAAACAAACAUAAAACAGGAAAUAUGGAGUCUAUCUUAAGCAAAAAUAGAAAUGGUUGCCAAUGGUUACCAUGAGCUUGGAUAUAUUUCUUUGUCAUAUGGUAAGGUUGGGUUGAGGGAGUGAUACCAAAGCUCACUUGAUGUGGAAAUGGGUACAGAGUUUCAUGGAGUUCCACAAGCCUGAAAGGAGUGUUCAGCAACACAUCAGUUAAAAAAGGAGACUCUAAGGUUGCUAGCAGCUCUAGAAAAAAGGUGAGGUGAUGUACAUGGAAACCACUGGUCCAGAGACCUGGUCUCUUUAAUAGCAUUUGUGACUUUUUGUAGUUUAAGCCGCCAAAUUCAUUCUCUCCACCUACUCUGACCAUUUAAUGUCUGGCAAAGAGGAAAGUAAAGAGUGAAGAUGGCAUUCACUGGUUCAUAAAUCAAAAGGCUGACAUGUGGAGUCUGUAUGAGACAAACUAAUCUUCCAAAUUCUCAAAACAGAAGGAAUGGGCAUAUGCUCCAAGGAGUGGAAAUGUUAAAUUUGGUGAAUGUGUUUUGGAAAACAAUACCCAAAUCAAGAUGAAUACUUCUUCAAAGAACUUCAGAGAACUUUUCCUGGAACUUUUGCUUCUUCAUCUUUCACUGUAUGAAGCAACACUCAGCAAGUACUUUGUCACAUUUUUAAGAAAAUUAGUUAAGACUGGAUCACAGACUUGAUGCAAAAACAUUAACUAACAGAGUAAUACAAGAACAAUAAAAAAUGCAUAUUACAGAGGGGUAGUGGAGAGGAAUAUUUUCCACUUACCCCAGACAUUUAGGGCAUUAGUCAUCUUGAUUACACUUGCAUGGAAAUAUUGAGCACAAAGACAAUGAGGAGUUCUAGUAAAAAUUACAUGAUAAUAGAAGGUGAGAAGGGUUCGAUAAAUGACAAAAAUAUCCUAAGUGAAAGCCCUACGGAAAGUUCUUAACACAGAUAGGUGAAUUCCAAAAGAAGGUAACACUUGUCUUCUACAGAAGAUCAUUUCCAGAAAUGACACAGAGAUCAUGAGUGUGGUGACUUUCAACUUUUCCCUCUCUAUCUCAUUCUUAUCUGAGAGUCCUGAGAUGUGUAGGAGACUGGGCUCUUGGGUAUUGUAUAAAAUUGAAAUAAAAUCCUUUAACUUUUAGCUAAGGAAAUAACCAUGCUUAGGCUAUUUUUGGACUCUACAAAU
ensembl:lncRNA